AUACGUAGGGGGCAAGCGUUGUCCGGAAUUACUGGGUGUAAAGGGAGCGUAGGCGGGACGGCAAGUCAGAUGUGAAAUACAUGGGCUCAACCCAUGGGCUGCAUUUGAAACUGCUGUUCUUGAGUGAAGUAGAGGUAAGCGGAAUUCCUGGUGUAGCGGUGAAAUGCGUAGAUAUCAGGAAGAAUACCAGUGGCGAAGGCGGUUUGCUGGCUGCAUACUGACGCUGAAGCGCGAAAGCCAGGGGAGCAAACGGGAUUAGAUACCCCGGUAGUCCUGGCAGUAAACGAUGUAUGCUGGGUGUGAGACUAGCGAUAGUUUCGUGCCGAAGUUAACGCGAUAAGCAUACCGCCUGGGGAGUACGGUCGCAAGGUUGAAACUCAAAUGAAUUGACGGGG
rnacentral:rRNA from 1 species